CCUCCAGCAAGCAUAUACAAGCAAUGCAAGCAUCAGUAGCAUCAGUGGGCAGAUGGCUCCAGUUGUUGACAGAAGAAUAAGAUGCUUGGAUUCUUCAGCUUUAAUGAUAAUCUCUUCCGAGGAGGAAUUCCCAGCGUUGUUGUGAGCGAUACACGAAUACUGGCCGUAGUUCUCCUCAUUGUUAUUUAUGGUCAGGUUCUUCUCCAUCUCAUUCUGUAAUAU